rnacentral:rRNA from 1 species
UACGGAGGAUGCAAGCGUUAUCCGGAUUUAUUGGGUUUAAAGGGUGUGUAGGCGGGAAAUUAAGUCAGUGAUGAAAUCCUACAGCUUAACUGUAGAACUGUUAUUGAUACUGGUUUUCUUGAAUACAGUUGAGGCAGGCGGAAUGUGUAAUGUAGCGGUGAAAUGCUUAGAUAUUACACAGAACACCGAUUGCGAAGGCAGCUUGCUAAACUGUCAUUGACGCUGAGGCACGAAAGCGUGGGGAUCAAACAGGAUUAGAUACC